UACGGGGGGGGCAAGCGUUGUUCGGAUUCAUUGGGCGUAAAGGGUGCGUAGGUGGCGGGGUUAGUCAGGUGUGAAAUCUCGGAGCUCAACUCCGAAACUGCACUUGAUACUGCCUUGCUAGAGUACUGGAGAGGAGAUUGGAAUUUACGGUGUAGCAGUGAAAUGCGUAGAUAUCGUAAGGAAGACCAGUGGCGAAGGCGAAUCUCUGGACAGUUACUGACACUGAGGCACGAAGGCCAGGGGAGCAAACGGG
rnacentral:rRNA from 1 species